rnacentral:rRNA from 1 species
UAUUUGAAGAGUUUGAUCCUAGCUCAGGAUUAACGCUGGCGGUGUGCAUAACACAUGCAAGUCGAGCGCCCUUUUAGGGAGCGGCAGACGGGUGAGUAACACGUUGGGAUCUACCCCAAAGUCAGGGAUAAGCCUCAGAAAUGAGGUCUAAUACCGGAUGGUCUCGUAAGAGUAAAGCUUUUGCGCUUUGGGAGGAACCUGCGGCCUAUCAGCUUGUUGGUAAGGUAAUGGCUUACCAAGGCUAUGACGGGUAGCUGGUCUGAGAG